rnacentral:misc_RNA from 1 species
UCCGAGUUGACCCCGGCAGUCUCCUAUGAGUCCCCGGCAUUAUCCGCUGGCAACAUAGGACGAGGGUUGCGCUCGUUGCGGGACUUAACCCAACAUCUCACGACACGAGCUGACGACAGCCAUGCACCACCUGUGAAGGUGCCCCGAAGGGAAGCCGUGUUUCCACGGCGGUCACCCUCAUGUCAAGCCCAGGUAAGGUUCUUCGCGUUGCAUCGAAUUAAGCCACAUGCUCCACCGCUUGUGCGGGCCCCCGCCAAUUCCUUUGAGUUUCAUUCUUGCGAACGUACUCCCCAGGUGGGUUACUUAUCACUUUCGCUUAGCCACUCAGUCUUGCGACCGAACAGCUAGUAACCAUCGUUUACGGCGUAGACUAC